rnacentral:rRNA from 1 species
UACGUAGGGUGCGAGCGUUAAUCGGAAUUACUGGGCGUAAAGCGUGCGUAGACGGUUCUGUAAGUCGGAUGUGAAAUCCCCGGGCUCAACCUGGGAAUUGCAUUCGAGACUGCAAAGCUUGGGUGCGGAAGAGGGAAGCGGAAUUUCCGGUGUAGCGGUGAAAUGCGCAGAUAUCGGGAAGAACACCCGUGGCGAAGGCGGCUCUCUGGGACGGUACUGACGCUGAGACGCGAAAGCGUGGGGAGCGAACAGG